rnacentral:rRNA from 1 species
GAAUUUAAUAAGAGGAUGUAUAGAGAUUUAGGUGGAAAGAGGUUAUAUAUAAUUUUAUUUAGUUGGGAUAAUUAUUAAAUUUAAUAAAUUUUAAUAUUUUAAAGGAUAUGGAUAAGUGAAUGUAUGAGUUUGAGAAUGGUUAGUAAAUUUAAAUAGAAUUAAUUACCUUAGGGAUAACAGCGUAAUAUCUUUGGAGAGAUCCUAUUAAUAAAGAUGAUUGC